UUUUUUUUUUUUUGGUUCUCACUGUAUUUGAUUGGUGUAGAUGACAAAUGAAAUUGGGUUAGUGAUUGUCAAUCUUAUGAAUGAUUAUGAGAGUAAAAUAUGUUAUGGAAUUUGCCAAUGUGAUUUUGUAGGGUGGUCAUUAUCCAUUAGUUAAAAUUUUGGAGUUUUGAUUUUGUGAAUUAGUGGGUCAUCUAUUAGUUAAAAUUUUGAAGUUUUGAUUUUGUGGGUUUGUCGGUCACGUAAAUUGGACAGUGGGAAGGGAUAAAGAGAAGCGAUAAGGAUUAUUGAAUUAAAAUAAAUCUAAAGUUACAGUAAAAAGGGAUUCAGAUUUCUAGCGCUUGUGAAGGCUCCUUGUCAAAAACCUGUCCUCUAAUAUAUAUCGAUAUAGAUUGUCUGUAGAAAGAAAGCAGCAGCAAGGAAAAUAGGAAAAAACCAAAAAAACAAACCUUGUGGAAUGAGAAUCCUAUAAAAUUUGUUAAACCAAAAACUUGUCACAUUUUAUAAAAUAGGGUUUUUCCUUGUAUAAAUUAAUCUCUUCUUCCAUUUAUAAUGUAUAUACUAGUGGGUCUAUAAGUAUGACAAAUAAUUUAAAUUUCAAGUUUUGUACAUGUGGCAUGCAUUUAGAUGGUUAGUGUAUAUGCUAUCAAUUUAAUUUAGAUUAAUCUUCCUUAUACCAUCUAUCUAAUAAUUGGGGGCAUCACUAUGUGUUGUUAAUACACAAGUUUCACCUUUUCAAUUCCUUUUGCACCUUACUAUUAAGAGGAUUUAAUUUUUCCUCACAUACAAAAAUUAAGAGGAUUUAGUUUCUAGGGCAGUUUUCACCUUUUAAACCAUGCGAUGCAGUGAUUGGACAUUAUUAGAAUUUGGAAAAUUAUUGUCAUAGGAUUCAUAUUCUGAGAAAGGCAUGCAUCGUGGGAACUAAACUUCCGUUCACACCAUCUCCUUUGUCAUAUCCAUUCUUGUUCCACUGCCGCCUUCUUCCAUGCAUGUGUUCUGUCUUUUCCUCUUUGCUUGGAAUUUAUGUCUUUUUGUGUACUAGUUAUUUGGCUCUUUUCCGUUUUGUACAUUUACAUCGAUGAUCAUGAUGGUUAAUUUACUGAUCCCUGUAUAUAUAUCCAUAUUUGCCGUUCAAUCCUUUAAAAAAUUCCACAUUUUUUGACUACAUAAUUCACCCCAGCCCUGUACCCCAGCCGGCCGUUGCCUUACUCAGUUGGAUCCAAAAGCCUUUGGCAAUGGUUCCAAGCUGUGUUUUCUUUGAUUAUAGUGCUUCUGCCUUCGGUCGGUGGGAAGAAAAUCCCUCACUUUGCACACUAGAAGCUGUCAAUUGGAAAAUUUUGAGGUAGCUUCCCGUCAAAUGUAAAUAGGGAAGCAUUAAUUGUGCAUUUUCUGCAGCUAUAAAACCCGUUUCAACAAUAUGUUCGACAGCUUGUCUAGGACAAAAUCUUUUAACAUUUGAGUAGAUCUAUUAUUUCAUGAACCGUGUUACCUCCAAUUUAAUUGUACGAACAAUCAAAAGGACCACAAGAACAAAUGUUGAUAGCAUUUGUUAACUAUUAUACGGUGCUGGAGCUCGAAAUGCUUUCUCGCUCUAGUAAAAUCCAAAAUAACUAGAAGCGUAGUUUUGUACUUUAAGUGGAAAUAUGUAUGAAGUGAGCAAGCAGGCGGACCCAAAUAUCUUCUUUGACAGAAGAACAGACAAUGAACAGGUCUUGUUGUUGGGAAAGGGGUACCAGUACAGGCACACAAUAUCAGAGUUAGCCCAGGACAAAUUUCUCUUUCUCCAAGUACCAGUUAAAAUAGGAACAAAUCAAAUCACCAAGUAAUAAUGCCAGCAGUGAUAAUAAAAUGCAAGAAAAAAUAGAAGGCACAGGACACCAAGAUUUUUAUGUGAAAAACCCAAAUUGGAAAAAAUCACGGGAUCUAGUCCAGUCAAAAACUUCACUAUCACAAUAAUGGAAAUACACAGGUCUAUCCGAAAUAUUCGGAUGACAAUAAUAGCACCAAUAUCAACCAAGCAAAUCUGCUAUAAAAUCACCCCCAAAAACUAUAACUGUCAAAGAAGUGGGUUUGGAAAGGUGUUAUCAAACGAAGAGGAAAUCUGAAAUCUGAAUCUGUAGAUGAGUAGAGCUUGAUGAGAGGAUCCCGUGUGUAAAAUUUCAUCUCAAUCGGGUUUCAAAUUACCCUCCAAUCAAGACCUUGAAGUUUCUCUCUCUAGCUAUUUCUCUCUCUUCGUAUCUCUCAAAAGUGGCGGCUGGCUCUUUUUUCUCUCACGCAAGAACCGAAGCCAUUAUCUCUUCAUGCGGCUGCUCUAUGUAUUUAAGCAUGAGAAGCCCUCAACCUUUUGCAUAAGUGGGUUGGCCCACAAAUGGGUUGGGCCACACCCAACAAUCUCCCCCUCCAACUCAUUUGGGGGGCUCCACCAAACCUGUUUCUUGCCUGUAAAACAAGAGUUUCUCCUUAGACAAUGCCUUAGUAAACAUGUCAGCCCCAUUAUCAUUUGUAUGCACCUUCUCAAGUGUCGACAGCUUGGAAUCCAGUACUUCCCGAAUCCAAUGAUACCUCACAUCACUAUACUUCUCUUGUUUCAUACCUAAUUCUUGAAGGAAUUUCUGCAACCGAAGAGUCUCCUUGCAUGCUUCAGUGGCUGCAAUAUACUCUGUCUCCGUACUAGAAAGGGCGAUAUAUUUUUGUAACUUACUUUACCAUGAUACUGCUCCCCCUGCAAAAAUCAUCAAGUACCCAAAUGUGGACUUUCUGUUAUCAAGAUCACCAGCCAUAUCUGCAUCAGUGUAUCCAUCUAGCAUAGUUUUACCAUUGUCGAAACAUAGACACAAUCUAGAAGUUCCCUUGAGAUACUUGAAAAUCCAUUUGACAGCAUUCCAAUACUCCUUACCGGGAUUAGAGAGAUACCGACUGACUAUUCCAACUGCAUGAGCAAUAUCUGGACUGGUCUAAACCAUAGCAUACAUCAAGCUACCAACGGCUGAAGCAUAAGGAACUUUCUUCAUGUCUUCUUUAUCUUUCUCACUUGUAGGACACUGUUUGAUAUUCAAUUUAAAGUGACCUGCAAGUGGAGUUGAGACUUCCUUAGCAUUGCCCAUGUUAAACCUGUUGAGCACUUUCUCAAUGUAUUUUUCUUGAGACAACCAAAACUUCCCAUUUUGCCUGUUUCGUGAGAUUUUCAAUCCCAAUAUUUGUCUAGCCGGACCCAAAUCCUUCAUUGCAAAGGAUUUACUUAACUCCUUUUUCAACCUGUCAAUUUUUAUAAUAUCACGGCCAACAAUCAACAUGUCAUCAACAUAUAGCAAGAGAAUAACAAAAUUACCAUCUGAAAAAUUUUUCACAUAAAUACAGUGAUCAGAUGUAGUCUCGUGGUACUCAUGGUCUGUCAUGAAGGAGUCAAACUUUUUAUACUACUGUCUCGAUGCUUGUUUCAACCCAUACAAAUUCUUCUUGAGACGACAUACAAGAUUUUCAGUACCACUUUCUUUGAACUCCUCCGAUUGCUCCAUGUAAAUCUCCUCUUCCAAGUCGUCAUGCAGGAAGGCUGUCUUCACAUCAAGUUGUUCGAUCUCUAAAUUCAAACUAGUUGCAAUACCAAGAACAACUCGAAUUGAUGACAUUUUUACCACAGAAGAAAAGAUUUCUUCAAAAUCUACACCUUCUUUUGACUAAAUCCCUUCACAACCAAUCUUAUUUUGUACUUUGGUUGUGAGCUGUGCUCCUGAGUUUUCAACCUGUAGACCCAUUUGUUCUUCAGAGCUCUCUUGCUCUUAGGCAGUUUCACUAGCUCAUAAGUGUGAUUCUCAUGUCCUCUUGCAUGGCUCGCAACCAAUCUUCUUUAUUCUCAUACUCUAGAGUCUCACCGUAGGAUUCUGGCUCUCCUCCAUCUGUCAACAACACAUAUUCAUGAGAAUUAUAUCUGCUAGAAGGUCUCUUCUCUCUGGUAGAUCUCUUAACCUCAUCUUGUGGUGGCGGUGGUGGAGUAGGUAGUACCUCAUGCUCAGGUUCAUCAGCAGUAGGAUUAUCACCGUCAUUAACAUCCUCUCUCUGCUCUGCCUCAGCUCCCCCUUGAUUAAAAUCAACAGGUACUAGAAUUGGAUCUGGAUCUAAAUUUGAGCUAGCAGGAAUAUCAUCUGAGGAUUUUGAGUUGUCACCUUUAUCAAUGUCUUCAAUGGUUUGAUCUUCAAAGAAGACAACAUCUCUGCUCCUGAUCACCUUCUUCUCAAUAGGAUCAUACAGCCUAUAACCAAAAUCUUCAUGUCCAUAACCCAAGAAAUGCACUGCUUUGAUUUUACAUUAGGUUUUGACCUUUCAUUUUUGGGGAUAUGAACAAAUGCCCGACAACCAAAAACUCUCAAGUAUUUAAAGGACACAUCUUUUCCCGUCCAUACCCUCUCUGGGAUAUCACCAUCUAGCGGAACUGAUGGAGAAAGAUUUAUCAAAUCAACUGUAGUCCUCAUUGCCUCACCCCAAAAGGGUUUUGGCAAUUUAGCAUUAGAGAGCAUACAUCUGACCCGCUCAGUGAUGGAUCUGUUCAUCCUCUCUGCUACUCCAUUCUCUUGAGGAGUUUUUGGUACAGUUUUCUCCAAUCUGAUUCCAUGGGACUUACAAUAGAUUUCAAAUGGUCCUCUGUACUCACCACCAUUAUCAGUACGAAUACACUUUAACUGCUUAUCAGUCUCUCUUUCAACUUUGCUAUGAAAAUCUUUAAACACAUCCAAAACCUGAUCUUUGGAUUUUAAAGCAAAACACCAAACCUUUCUAGCAAAGUCAUCAAUAAAAGUUACAAAAUAAACAGCACCACCAAGAGAUUUAUCUUUCAUAUAGCAAACAUCAGUGUGUACCAAUUCUAAUGGAUUUAAUUUUCUAGAUGGAAGAAAAUUUUUAAAAGCAACUCUGUGUUGUUUCCCAUAAAUGCAGUCAACACAAGCUUUAAGUAUAUUACCUCUAACUUCAGGUAGGAGUUGUUUGCGAACAGGAGUCUGGAUUCCUUUUUCACCCAUGUGCCCAAGUCGUCUAUGCCAAAGGUCAAUUGAUGAAUCACGAAUUGCAUUGACUUCUCCCUUCUCUAACUUGGCUUGCAUCAAGUAGGGAGUACUCUGCUUCUUUCCCCUAUCAACAACGAGAUUUUCUUUGCUGAGUUUCCAUUUGCCUCCACCUUGUAAACUAUAGUAACCCUCAUCGUCAAGUUUUCCUGUAAAAAUAAGAUUAAGGCGAAUAUCAGGGACAUGUCGAGCAUUUCUUAAUAUCAACUGGCACCCGAUAUCUGUAUCCAAAUAUAUGUCUCCCAUACCAACAACUUUGCAUGAGACCUCAUUUCCCAUCCUAACAUAUCCAAAAUAUCUUUCGGUGUAGGUUGAGAAUAAAUGCCUGUGAGGAGUAACAUGAUAAGAUGCACCCGAAUCAACUACCCAAUCACUAUCAUAAUAAAUAAUAUUCACCUGACCAUCGUCACAGAACACAAACAUAUCAUCAUGAGUUGCCACAACUGCUAUAGUGUCAUCAUCAUCUCUUUCCUUCGCCUUACCCUUUUUCUCAGCCUGAUCCCAUUUUAGGAUUCUGCAUUCUUUCAUAUAAUGCCCAUUCUUUUUACAAUAAUAGCAUGCAACAUUUUUUCGUGACUCAGACCUGCCUCUUAAUUUGUCAUUCCUGUUAUGGGGACCUCUAUUUUUGCUUCUUCCUCUUCUUUCUUUCUUUUCUGUCACCAGGGCCUGGGUCUCAUAGACAAUUCCUUAUUCCUUCCUCCUGAACUCUUCAUUCAUCACGGCCUCUUUUGCAAUAGUCAUAGUCAACACACCAUUCGGAGCUGAAUUACUGAUGGAAACCACCAUGGUUUCCCAACUAUCCGGUAGUGAACUGAAUAAUAAUAAUGCCUGUACUUCAUCAUUCAGAUUCAAAUUUAAUGUAGUUGCCUGGUUUAUCAAUUCUUGAAAAUUACUCAAGUGUUCAGUCAUAUCUUUCUCAUCCUUAUAUCUCAUUCGAGUAAUCUGUUUCAGACAACUAGCCUUGUUCAAACCUGUCUUUCUUUCAUACAUACUCUCAAGUUUUUUCAUAAUAUAUCAGUUCUGGUGUCAUUAGCAAAAUGUUAAAAAAUAUUUUGACCAAUCCACUUUCUAAUAUUACCAACAGUUUUCCUGUACAUAUUAGCCCAUUUUUCAUCACUCAUAUCACUUGGUCUACAUUUAUCCCCUAGAACAUGUUCAAACAAAUCUCUACAAUACAAGUAGUCUUCCAUUCUAGAUUUCCAAAUUGAAUAAUUAGUGGCAUUCAAUUUUAUCAUGCAACCACUAUCCGAAUCAUCCAUUUUUAACCAGUACAAAUGAACAGUCUAACCUGAGUGAUCUGAUUCUUGUUAUUGGAAAAGGGGUACCAGUACAGGCACACAAUAUCAGAGUUAGCUCAGGACAAAUUUCUCUUUCCCCAAGUACCAGUUAAAACAGAACAAAUCAAAUCACCAAGUAAUAAUGCCAACAGUGAUAAUAAAAUACAAGAAAAAAUAGAAGGCACAGGACACCAAGAUUUUUAUGUGGAAAACCCAAAUUGGAAAAAAUCACGGGAUCUAGUCCAGUCAAAAACUUCACUAUCACAAUAAUGGGAAUACACAGGUCUAUGCGAAAUAUUCGGAUGACAACAAUAGCACCAAUAUCAAACAAGCAAAUCUGCUAUAAAAUCACCCCCAAAAACUACAACUGUCAAAGAAGUGGGUUUGGAAAGGUGUUACCAAACGAAGAGGAAAUCCGAAAUCUGAAUCGGUAGAUGAGUAGAGCUUGAUGAGAGGAUCCCGUGUGUAAAAUUUCGUCUCAAUCGGAUUUCAAAUUACCCUCCAAUCAAGACCUUGAAGUUUCUUUCUCUCUAGCUAUUUCUCUUUCUUCGUAUCUCUCAAAAGUGACGGCUGGCUCUUUUUCUCUCACGCAAGAACCGAAGCCAUUAUCUCCUCAUGCGGCUACUCUGUGUAUUUAAGCAUGAGAAGCCCUCAACCUUUUGCAUAAGUGGGUUGGCCCACACCCAACACUUGUCACAAUGCGACAGUUAACCAAUUCAAUUUCUAAAAUGGCUACUGCUAUUUUUUUUUUGUGUACAUUGCUGCAAAAUGAGCUGUAACUAGUUCUCGUAAAGCCUUAAUGAUGAAUAAUGAAGCCUUAAUAUAUAUAUAUAUAUGGUAGAUUUAGUUCCUUGAAGUUCAUAUGCAUGGAAGAGAAUGUUGCAAUUAAGAGAGCUCGCUGAGUCCCACAUUGGUUGGAUUGUUUGCUCGGGAAAUUCUAGUUUCGGGUUUGAUAAUUGGUUGGGGACGGGAGCACUGGCUGGUUGUUUGGAUAGUGUUUCUGAUCAUUGCAUUUGGGACUUUUGCAAUAAUGGAGCUUGGAAUCUUGAAUUGCUGAAUCAAUGGCUUCCUCCGGAUUUUGUUCAGGAAAUUACUUGUUCAGCUCCACCAGCUUUGGACUUGCAAGAUAAGAUGAAUUGGUUGCCUAACCAAUCAGGUUUGUUUUCUUUAAGCCCGUUUUUUAAAUAGCGCAAUUACAUUCUAGUCAUUCAUUCAUGUAUACACGGAUUUGGCAUGCUAGAUUGCCUAUUAAAAUUUCUUUCUUUGCGCUCCGGAUGUUAAGAGUUCGGUUGCCGUUAGAUUCCGCUCUUUGCAAAUUGGGUUUUCACCUUCCUUCUAGGUGUUUUUGCUGUGUAAACCUUGAUAUAGAGUCGUUGGAUUAUGUGUUUUGCUCAGGUGAAACUGCUUCAUAGGUUUGGAAUUUUUUUGGUUCAGUGUGUGGAGUGGUUAAUUUAGGUCCCUCCGUUCGUGCUUAUACUGGUGGCUUGUGGUAUGGUGCUAGGUGGCAUAAGUUUCGGGAAUUUAUUCCUCAUCUUCUUCCUUUGUUGAUAUACGGGCAUCUAUGGAAAUUCCGGAACUUGGCAGUGUUUGAAUGGAAGUGUUUAUCUCCGCAGGCGAUUUGUUCCUUGGUGUUUUCUAACUUGAGGGAAUUAUAUAAUUUGCACUUUCAUUCUGCUAAUGGUUGGUCAGUUUUGGGUUUGAUUUCUAUGAUGAAGUUUUUGGAAUGUCUGUUAAUAGCAGCUUGAAGUUGGUUAAGUGGCUCAGGCGAGGUGGUGGUAUUUUAAAGUUGAAUACUGAUGGUUGCUCUGAGGCUAACAUGAAAUUUUUCAUGAAGCAAGUACUUGCAAAUGAAUUAGAAAUAGUAAUUCUAGUAGGACAAUAUUCUAAGUACUCUCUGCAUCCCCAAUACUCUAAUAGGAUAAUAUUUCCUCCCCUCUUUCCUGCCACCUCUCUUCCCCCUCUUCCUCAACCACCUUCCCUUUCCUCCUCUGCCUGAUUUGGUUGUGCAACCAAAUCAGACCGUGGGGAGAAGAAGGGAGAGGGGGAAAGGGGUGGAGGAGGGGAGGGAGAGAGAAAAAGAAAAAAGGAAAAAAAAUUUGUUUCUGCUGCUGCAACUUUUGGCAGGGGGAGGGCGAGGUGGCGGGAGAGGAGAAGAGGGGGAAAGAGAAAAAUGUAAAAAAAAAAAAAAAAAUUGCUUCUGCUGCUGUAACUUCCGGCCGGGGGAGGAGGAAGGGAGAAAAAGAAGAGAGGAAAGUAACGAAAGAAAAAAAAAAUUUAUCUUAUAAUUUCUACAAUAAAUUAUGAUAAAAUUUUAGACGCACACUCAAAAAAUUAAUUUGCCAAACAGUCCUUUGUCUUCGUUCAACUUCUACGCAUAGGUCGAUCAAAAAGUCUGCACAAUUGUUAGCUUCCCCAAGCCCGUGCCUAAUAGUAGUUGUCGGCGGAAAGUUCCGCAGGAUAGCCCUGCAAUCACUUAGUACUGGAGCGUGGAAAGUUCUGCAAGAUAGCCCUUUUUGUUUUGUUUUUUUUUUUUUUGGUGCCUCCCCUCUCCUAAAAUCACAAUACAAAUGUGCCAUGUUCAUGGACAUAGCUAAGCGCCCAACAACCUUCGGGAGUUACUCUAAAGUUGCUUUGAUAAAAUUUAUGAAUGCACUGGGCUACUUUUUAAUAUUACCAAUCUUUAUAAAAGCAAUCAUAAUUAAUGGAUAGCUAUGUUUGGAUACAAAAUUAUUUGAAUUAUUAUUUUGCUUGCAUCACAGGUGCAUUUUUCAAUUCAAUUUUUUUAUAUUUUUAAUUACUUUUUUAUGUUACAUAUAUCAUAUUACAAAAAGUAUUAUAAUAAUUAUUUCAAAUAAUAUUUCAAAUAAUACCCUAUACAAAAAUAUUGUUUAAUUUUCUACUCCUGUGGCUUUAAAAAUGUAUCAGUUCAUAAUAUACUGCAAUGAAUAAUUAAGCAAAAACUAUGUAGAAGAUGUCAUUAAAUUUACUAAAUAAGCGAAAACAUAUUUAUGUUAUUAAAUUUCUGUGAGGACCCGAAUUUUUCUCACUUAUAAUUCAAUUUUUAUGGCUUAAUUAAUUAUUUGCUUACCCAUUUUCUCCGAAUAUUAUAUUCUAACCUCGAUAGACCUAAUUACAUGGAUCUAUAGCUUUGUUAUAUUUUAAAAGUGACUUGUUUCAAAAAUUAAUUUUUGGAAGCUCGUUUAGUGAAAAAGUGAAAACGCGUUUGGAAAUUUUAACCGUUUGAGAGUACAAUAAGUUUGGAAAAUUGGAGACUUGUAUAAUGGUUCUAAAAUAGGUAAUUUUAUGUUUAAGUACUCAAAUGAUAGUUAUUAGUAAUAUCGUUAUAAGAAAUUCUUGGAGGUUUCGCUUUAUCGCACUUGAAUUGGAAAUACGCGUUUUCACGCGCGCGAUUAAUUGAGGGACUCUACACCAUUAUUUUGGGACAAUUAAGAGUGAAUAAUAUUUAUAUGAAUAUAAGUAUAUUGAAAGUUUAGUGCACUAGUGAAAUAAACUCGAGAGGAAUCGAGCCCAAAAACCCCGCAUACACGCGCAAGAGAGAGUUGACUUUUGGGGUUAUUGUGGCCACACAUUUAAGCUUACUUUAGGAGCUUUAUUUCAGCACCACACUCUCUCUCUUUCCCUCUCACUUUGGCCAAACCAUCAGCUGCAAAAACAACUCAAAGUUUCUGAAAUUUUCAUCUCCAAAUCUUGCACAAACCUUCACCAAAUCCUACCAAAUUUUAACUACACCUAGCUUAACACUUGGAGAUUACAUCUAGCUAAGAAAAGGAGCUUCAAUCCACGGUUUAAUUGGGCAAAGAAGGGACCAAAAUUCUGCCUUGCUACAUCUAAACAAGUAGGUAACGAUCAACCUUGAAAAUCUUGGUUUAUGGAAGUAGUAUUACACGUAUAAACUCUUGCAUGCAUGUGGGUAGUCUUGUUUAUGGUGGAUUUGUGUUGUGUGGGCUCUAUGAACUCCCACAUUUGAUGGAUGGAUUGAUUUGAUGUUGGAAGAUGAAAUUAAUGGUAGUUUAGUGCUUAUAUUAGUGGAUUAAUGUUGUAUUGUUGAUAGAAAAUCAAAGGAGGUGCUUGGAGCAAAAGUGACCGUUUUACCCCUGCAUUGUUCAAGCACUUUUGUGCUAAAUUUUGAGGUUCUAAUGACUUGAUUAUGUUGUUUACAUGUUAUUGUGAGUGUGAAAAAAAUUUCAUUGAAAAAUAACAUGAUUUGGUUGGUCAAAUGAGUUGAUUUCCAAAGUUAGCAAAACUGGAAAAUGAAUCCCGUAUUGCCCAGGCAGUCAUUUGUAUCGGUCAUAACUCCUUGUUUCGAUGUCAAAAUCAAGUGCCAUUUUCGGCAAUGGAAACUAGACAUUCCCAAAUUUCCAUUGGUAUAAAAUACACGACCUAGUUCCACUCGAGGGAGCCAAACCAUUCGUUUGAAAAUUGUUGUCCUGUUUCGUUGCUCUUCAGGAGGCAGGACAUGAACUGUAACUUGAUGCUCAAAAACGAGUUGCUUGUGAAUAGAUUUUGAAAAUGGUUUCUUCUAAGAAAUUCUAUCUUUAUGAAAUAUCUUUUCAACGCCACCAACCACGCUCAAUUCCGAGUUAAAUUGAGUGAGUUGUAUCCAUAUUUCGAAACUGAUGCAGUGAGUAAAAAAUCCUCUUUUGGCUAGUAAAGGCCUAACCCUUGGUUGGGACUUGUUGUUUUGAAAUUCUUGAUGUUAAUCACCUACCGAAUAUAUCUUGGAUUCUUAUUAGACCUGAUUAUCAUAAAUGAUACAUGUUUUAGGCAUUUUCAUAGGCCAAAGGUUUGAGAAAAGAAAAAUUGAAGUACAAGGCAGAUUUACGUUGGAAAUUCUUGAAACUUUGAUGGUUUUGUUAACCAACUUGCCGAAUGAAUUUUCCUAUGAAAUUUGACAGAAGAAUAGCUCUUAUAUGGUAGUGUAAUCAUACCAAAUUUUGUGCCGUUCCGAGUCCAUUUCACUACCAAAUUAAAGUCCCAAAGUUUGGAACUCAAAUCUGGAAACUAGCUUAACAGUUUCUUUUUUUUUUCCUCCAACUUUGAGCGACCAUAUCUCGGUGCUCAAAACUCAGAUUCUUGAUCCGCUUGUUCUGUACUAAACCUUACUUGCAACUCUAAUUGAGUUAGAAAUUUCGGAGGCUGGUUUGAAACGUAUGAAUUUUACCGAAUUUCCAAAGUUAGCGAAAAACCAACCCCGGCACAACUCUAAGUAACCUGAAAUAGUAACUUUAAUCCCAUUUUUGAAUACCUUUCACUUAGAUUCAUGGAAAUGUGUAUUCUAAGAACUUUUAGUACUUUGGAAAUAGUUUCCAACGGUACCAAGUUUUCCAAUUUUGGACUUGUAGAGAGUGAAAUACGAUUUUCCAAAACUUUCGUAUCCAAACAGAAAUUUCCGAAACUUAAGCAAAUAGAGUUUUUCGAAUUCUCCUUUUUCCUUCGAUAUCACUUAAAUGUUUUCCACAUGAUUUGAAAUAUAAAAACCCGAUUUCUCUUAUGCAUUGAAACCCCACUUUUGAGUCUCGAUUUGCAUGUGAUUAGGACUCGUACUCGUGAAAUCUUCUUAGAUUGUACAUGGGUACAAUCUUUCUCAAUAAGUAGGGGGUUUUAAGCGAUAGUGUGUAAUAGUUUAUUGUUAUUUGUUCAGGCGCUCAAGGGGACCAUCAAGAGGAACUCGAAGCGGACGCCUAGACACUUGUUUGAGAAGUUACUCUCUUGUUGCAAUAGGUGAGUGUUCUAUAUAGGAAUACGUAAUUUGCAUAAGUCUAUGACUUGGUCAUUCUAUGGUCAUCACGUGUUAAGUGUUAAGUGCUACAUGUUAAGUAUUUAUCACACUUACACAUAUGUAAAUAAGAUAUACUUGAAUUACUUGCUAUGAAAUGCUUGAAGAGCAUAUUUAUGUGACUACUUGAAUUACUCGACAUGAAAUACUUGAAAUAUGUAUACUUGAAUUACUCGACAUGGAAUACGUGAAUUGCAUAUUUACGUGAAGUGUUUAAAUGAUCAAUUAUGCUAUGGUUGCAUAAGUCGGUUGGAGUGAAUUUCUUCGACUCUUAAGUGAUAAAUAUGGGAAAAUGGUCAAUAGCGGCCUAUUAAAAUGAAAAAUGUCUACCGAUUACCAAUUACCGAUUACCGUUUACCGUUACUCAUAAAUACUUACCGUUUACCGAUUUAUUUGAUUACUACUGUUUACAGAUUUACUUGACUACUUGAUUAUUUGAUUACCAUGAAUUCCGUAUUCAUAUGAAAUUAUGGCAUAUUCCUUACGGGUUUGGAUGUUAAGUGUUAGCUAUAAUUACUCAUAUAGAAUUGUCCAUCAUUUUAGGGCGAGUGUGUACUUUAUCUCACUCGACCUCUCCAAAAUGAUAGAUUUUUACCGUUCAUCGGUUUACGUGAUUACGUGUGCAUGUUGUAAGUUCUAAGCUGAACUUGGGCCCUGCCCUUGGUUACUGACCUACUCGAGCCAGGACUGGGCUCGGUCGGGUAGGUUGGAAUCCUGGGCCACCGUUUCGGUAUACUCGAGCAUUACCACUGGAGGGAUAAGGUGAUGACCAGACAAACCGAGGGGAUCCGGAAAUCAUAAGGUGCAGAUGACCGAAAUGGUUCCACUGGAACACCGUAUCCUUCAAUGUGUAUUUAACUUUGCAUAGUGAUAACCAUUUUUUGCAAAUGUGCCAACGUGCAAAUCUUGAGUCAUACCCGUGAUAUGUUCAAAGUACUCGUAUAAUGAUAUUUGUCUCAUGUUCAUGUACCAACGUGCAACCCCAAACCAUACAUGUGGUAUGCUCCCUUUACUUGAUUUAUUAGAACUGCUAGAGUGUCUUGGAACCUCACUGGGCUGUGUAGCUCAUACCACGUCGUGGAUUUCUUUUACAAGGUCCGAGACCAAGAGUGUCCGAGAAUAGUACUAGAUUGCUUUCUUUUGAAGAUCCUAAGUUGUAUUAUAACGGAUGGUUGUAGUACAUAUUCUUUUGGAUUGUAUUAAGUUUGAGGGCUAUCUGAUUGUAAGUGUGAAAUGUUUUGGAGUACUUUAAUUAUGUAAUUAAAGUAUUUAAAGUAUUCCUAAUUUUGAAUUAUGGAUCGUAUCGAGUCCUGACGAGAGUUGGGCAGGCCUCCCGCCGAUACUCUUGGGUUUGCCCUUGGGAGAAGUGGGGCGUCACAAUUUCAGCACUAAGAAAAAUACUUUGUUAGAGGUUAUAAGUAGAUUUAAAAAAAUGGGAUAUUGGCAGUGGUUGUUAUCUACUUGAUUAUACAGACCACUUUCUUAUUUGCCUUGAUUAUUGUAUUUGUUUAAUGAAUGUUUUCUUAUUCAUACUAUGUAUUUUUAUCUAAAUGAUUCAUUUCUUACUCGUACCAUGCAUGUUUCUCUAACGAAAUACCCUUUCUUUGUACCAAACAAGUAUUUCACGUAUAAUCAUAUGCCUCUGCAUUGUUUUUAUAUAACCAACGUAGUAGUAUUAUCAAAUUUCUGAUUAUAUUUCAUUUGCCACUAUGUUUUUUAGGAAACUAUAGACAAAGUGAUUUUUAACCGGAAUUCUUUCAACCUUUAUGUGACUUUUUCCUUUUCUAUUCCUCAUUUAUUUUUGUUUUCUUUCAUACCAAAUAUCGUAUGAUUGAUUCUCUUAAUCGCGAAACGAAACUUAAAGAAAUAAAAGUUUUGUUUGGAUAGAGAAUUAUUUGAAAUAUUAUUUAGAAUAAUUACUGUAGCACUUUUUGUGAUUUAAUGUAUACGAGAUAAAAAUAUGAUUGAGAAUAUAAAAAGGUGUAUUGAAAAAUGUGUUUAUGAUGCAAGCGAAAUAUUAAGACCCACAACAAAAUUUACAUCAGCAACUGCUACUUACAUCUUCAUUAUGUACCUUAUAUACAUAAUCUAGAAAUUUUUAUUUAUUCCAUAAACACGUGAAAUUAUUUCCAUAAACUAUGUAAGACCUUUUAGCCACAAGCGAUUUAUGAAUUAACUGCAUUUCAUUUUCAUAUAUAAAACAUAUAUGUUCAACUUCUAACCAAUUACUUAAACUUAAUUUCACUUCUAUACUUUCACACAGGCCAAUCCUAUCAUAAAAGACUAUCACACUCAUUCAGAGUACUCCAAAAUGCAAGUUGCUUUAGUAAUUUGCCAGCCUGGAAAAGAACUACUAAAGGGGCCAAAUUGUAUAAGUUUCACUUUGAAUGGUAAAUUAUAUAUGACUAUCCCUAACUUCGUGUCCAUCAAAUUGUGAGGCGUGGCCCAAGACAUUAUAUCAAUUUACUUCUGUAGAGCUUGAGGGUUCUUUGAUGGAGACAUGCAAGCAUGUUCUGCGUUCAAGCAAAAAAUAGUUAGAUUUUUGUGAUUUUGAGGCCAUUCAUGUUUUCCUUUUAAAAAAUUACAUGCAUCUGCAAUUUCCCUAGCACGAUUGUGCGUCAACUUGCCGGAGUCCUCCUACACGAUAUCGCUUUGGUGUAUGUAAUUUGCCAUUAUGUGUCAUAGUUUUGGGGGCAACAUAUUCACGUGCCAACCAAAAGUUAGCUACGUGUCAUGCUUAAAUGCCACCAAAUCGGCGUUUCUAUGGUAGGAAAGCCCGUACCAUUCCUACCGCAUCCAAUUCCGUCCCACAUCGAAAGAUCGUGGGGCAUUAGACUCUGGGUUUAAGGUUUAUGGGUGGCCGAUUCUGUCACUAAUAGGCUGAAUCUGAUUACUUUGUGAAUUUUCCUUAAAUUGUUCGUUUGGACCGUUCUUUGAUGACUCUCCAAGUGUUAAUCUAACUAUGUGCGUGUAUUCUUGAUCAUUUGUGAGAAAAAAAAAAUCCCGUGAUAGAGAGGACGGGGUAUAGAGAAAUCCCUUCCAUUCCAUACGCUUCCUAAAAGUUCAAUGCUGGUGUCUCUUCACAAGCCCACAAACUAUUAUCAAGAAAACUACAGCAACUACUUUUGUUGCACGCAACAGUUAUCGAAACUAAAGCCAGGCAACGUUAUUAUAAAAUCAGGGGAGGGGGAGAUGACUAAUUUCAUAAAUGAAAUUUCUCUCUUCAUAGUAAAUUUUAAUUAUUUUGAUACUUUAAUUUUUCUCCUGCACUUUUGUUUAUUAUAUACCAAAAAAGAUACGUUGCUAUAUGUUGAAUUAAGUUACUUGGGGUCCAGGCUGUGCAAGGUACAGUUGCUAAGGUAGUUUGGAUUGUCGUUUUUUGUCAAAAAAUUACGUCGUUUUCCGUGAUCACAUUUCCCUAUUAUUUUUUUUCAUCACAUACAUCAAAUUGCUACAGUAAUUUUUCCAUGAAAAAUGACGGAAAAUACAAUCCAAACGGAUAGCUUUACUAAAUGAAAUUGAAUUGGGCCACAUGUACUCCAUGCAGCACCCAUUGUGUUACUUCACAAAAAAAGAAAAUUCAACAAAUGCACAGCAUGUACUACGCGUGGUUCCCUAUUUUAUUUUGCAGAAGAGCUCCUCGCACAAAAUGUGGCCCCCUAGUUCCCAAAAUAAUAAAAAAAUUAACAUUUUUCUAAAAAUAAAAAUUAAAAAAGGCGUUUGGGUACGCAUGUAAGGAUAUGCGGCACUCGUAAUGCCGAUUUUGGCAAAAUGGACACUCAUAAAUGAAGAAAAGACCCACCACUUUUCUCAUUUUAUUCAUUUUUAAAAAUUUUUUAAACAAUAUUAUGAGAAAUUGAUCUGUCUCCCUAUCUUGAAGGUGUGAAAGCAUCAAUCUUUCAAAUGUCGACGAACUCUUUGAUUAGCCUUUCCAUCUAGCCAUUUGAGAAGUGCACAAAUUUUCUUACAUUUCAAUAGACUAUUCAUAACUUAAAAAUCAGAAUUUGUUUGGUCACAUUGUAGAUUCAUCUAAAGUCAUCUCUUCCGGACAAAAUGUUCCUCAAAUUCAUCCGGUCAUGUGUUAAAUUUCUGUUCAAUCAUCCAACCAAUAGUUGGUUCCCCGUUCAGUCAAUAGUUUGUUUUGACCAGUUACCAUAAAUCUUUAGGGUAUGCCAAAAAUUUAGUUAGGUAUGGGUGCUUUUAGUGGGGUUCUGGUUGUCAAACUGCAAAUUCACUGGCCUCAAUUCCGUCUACUUACAUCCCCUCGGCCAAAGACGUGAGCAGCCUGGCUAAUUUGAAAAAAUGUCCGGUCUAAAGUCAUCUCUUCCGGACAAAAUGUUCACACGUUCCUCAACUUAAACGACCUUUUCCGCCGUCGUAGUAGAUUGUCGCAUCGGCUGACGGAUUGAGCUCUUCGUAACCAUUUGCGUGAGACGUGAGAACAUGUAGUCCUGAACAGCGAGUUGUGGCGAAAAUUCUAAGGAUUGGUAUGGUGGUUUGUACCAAUGCAUUGGUAAAGUGGUUUGAUGUGGUACGGUUGUGAUAGGAGCAAGAGGAAAAGCAAAAUUGAAGGUUGUUUUUGGUGUGGGUUAAGGCUACCGAAACUUAAAUGAAUGUUGUGAUGGUAGGCUCCAGAUUGAAAUGACUCAGGACAAUUUAUCAGGCACAUGGGUUCACCUCCACUAUGGAUUCACUCAUCGUUAACCCAUGUGAAAAGACCCAAGACAUUAUUAAUAAUUGUUUUCUAAUUUAUGAACAAUAGACAUAACGAAGAAAAUGCAAAGUUAGAUAUACAACUGAAAAGAAAUUAGAAAAAUAAAUAAUAUAUGUAUGUGCAGAAUUAGAUAAAUUUUGAUUCAUUUAAUUACAUAAAUUGACAAAAGAGUAGAUAAUUUAAAUAUUUUGGAAGAAAUUUUGGAAUAAUAUGUGUAAUUAAUUAAACCAAUAAUAGGAAUUAAUAGCUGUAAAGGAGUAAAUGAAUGGUUAAUUAAUUAGUUGAGAUGGAAUAUUUGUAGGAGAAGUAAUAUGUUGUUUUAUUAUAUGAGAAGAAAUUAAUAUGAUUUUUUUAUUAUAUUUGCGGGUAGAACAUAAAGAAAUGUUUAAAAAAAUGCAUUUGUAACGGUAUUAGUCCAAAUUAAUGAGAAUGAAUUGAUGACAUAAUAACCGGAGUGCAAAUAGGUGAAAUUUAAUUAGACCAUACUUGUCACUUUUAAAUUUUCAACAUUAUCAUCAUAAUCACUUAAUUAUACUUUUAUCAUUUGAUUAACAUAUUGUCUAUGUAUUGUCAUCCAAUAGCACAACUAACUUUCAUCGAUAACCAACCAUAAACAUUAUAAUUACCAAAUUCAUUAAAAUAAUUUUAAAAAAGCUUUUAAAAGAUCAAAAUUUUUUGUUUAUUAAAAUUUUAUACCAAUUUCUUCCAUAUAAAAAGUGAUUGUUUUAAAUUACACAUAGAUUGAGUGUGCCCUUUAUCACUAGUACUACUAAUGGUAUUUGUACUAAUGUAUACAUGCUUGAAAUCAAAUAUUCGUAUUGAUUAGACUAUGUAGUGAUGCAGUUAAUAAUAUUUUUAAUAGGUAUAAAUACAAAAAUAUAAUUCCUCAUUGUUUAUUCUAAAAGCAGGACAACAAACAAUCUUAACAUUAAAAGUAUUCCAUAUACUUUCAUGGAUAAUAUAAUACAAGAUGACAUGCCCGAAUUUACUAAUGAAUGAAUAAUUUUCUUUCAAAUAACAUAAAAAACUUUUUAUAGUUGGUACUCCCGAACUUGAACAUAUUUUUAGGCAAAAGGAGAUAAAAAUUUAUGAAACAUAAGUCUAUUGUUGUUUGUUUUAUCUCGAAAUUUAAAUAUAUCCAAACCUCAUUCCUAAUUUUCCUUAUUGUAUCUAAAUGUUUUGGGCAUGAAUUCUCAUAUUACAAUAAAUUAUGAAGAGUUAAUAAUACUUUAAGUGCUUCUUUUUGUGUAAUAGGCUCCAAAGUUACCAUAUCAUCUCUAACUUUCAUCAUUAGCAUGAUUUUCAGUAAUGCCAACAAUAACUCUUUUAAACUGGAGACCUCUAAACUUGUCUCAUUUUCAUCAUCUGGAUAAUCCAAUAGGUAAUUUACAUAUUUAGACUUUUAACAUCUUUUUAUUACUAGAAUAAUUCAUAUGUUUAUAAAAAUAAAAUAAAACUUUAGUCGAUUAAACGAGUGUUUAUUUGAAUUGUAAGCACACUCAUAAAUUAAUAAAUUAUUAAUUUAUUUUAAAUUAAUAGAAUUUGUAUAACUCCGAGAUUGUUAAUUUAUAGAGGAUUUAUUGUAAUUUGUAUUAAGAAAACUACGUAGCAUUCAUUAAAUUGAGAAAUUAGUACUUUCAUUCAAUAACUUCAAGGCUAAUUAACUAUGCAGCUAUAAUUAUUGCUAGCUAUGAUUGCAUAAAAAGAAGAAGAAGAAAGUAUCAUACCCAAUAAUGUUGCACAAAUAUAGUAUUGAUGUAUACAUGCUUAAAUUUAAGAACUGGUAUUGGUUAGACUAUCAUGACACAGUUAAGAACAAUUUUUAAUAUGGACUAAUACAAGAUUAUAACUUUGCAUGUUGGAAAAUUAGAAAUGAAUAGAUAAUUUACAUUUCUUUUAUGAUUUUAAAAAGCAUUGCAAAUAUAUGAUAAAAUUAAUAGAACAAGAUAUUGUAAGGAAAUGAUCAUAUAUAAGAGCUAAAUUUUCAUUUUCUAAUGUAUUGCUACUUAUCACGUGACUUCAUCCUAUAGUAUUAGGUAUAGUUGCAAAGAAAAGGACCAAGAAUAAUUGCAAAGAAAAUCAAAUAUUGUGCAAGAAUUGCAAAAGUGUUAACAAUAAUUGGUAAAAAUAAUUACAAAUUCAUGGAUUCAAUUUGUAGUUUUGCGAAGUAGAAAGAAAGAACUCUUUUCAUGAUUCAUGAAUCAUAAAAUAUGAACUCUUUUCAUGAUUCAUGAUCUAAUUGCUUGAGUAUAUAGUAAAAAAGGGCUAAGAAUAUUUGCAAAACCUUAUUAAUCUUGUUUUCAGAUUUAUGAAUUAUAAAUCGUAAGAACUGUGAAAGGAUUAAGAAUAAUUGGUAUUACAAUGAGAAACAAAUAUUGUUUUUGGAUUCGUAUUGUAGUUGUGUGAAAUAAAAAGAAAGAACUCAUUUCAUGAUUCAUGAAUCAUAAAGUACGAUUUAAUCAUUUUUCAUAAAUGAAAAUGAGAUGUUGAAGCAUGUAUGUAGUAUAUGUUACAGAAGGAAUAAGAAAAUUGACCAAAGAAAACUAAGGUUGUGUUUGGAUUGCAUUUUCCGUCAUUUUUCAUGGAAAAAUUACUGUAGCGAUUUGAUAUAUGUGAGGAAAAAAGGUGAUAGGGAAAUGUGAUCACGGAAAACGACAAUAUUUUCCGACGGAAACAAGCAAUCCAAACAAGGCAUCUUUUCAUGAUGCAUGAAGCAUAAAAUAAAGUAUAAUUCAUUCGCAAUUGAAAGUGGGAGUGUAAUUAACCUUGAGUCUCUUAUUACGGUGAAAGUGUAAUUUUUCCGGAGAUGGACUUGCUAGUUCUUCCCACUCAAUUUUACUUUUCGUUUCAUGAAAGGUAAAUCAGGCUUUGUUUUCGUUUCUUUCUACUCAAUUUCGUCUCCAGAGAUGGCAGCCCAACUUUACCUUCACGUAAGUAAAUAAACUUUUCCUUCAAUUUCCUUUGUACCGUUUUAUUACUACUUUAUACUUAUUUGUCCUCGCAAUGUCAGACUUGUCAACCGCUAUAAUAACUUUGACUUUCAGCUCAAUACUUGUGCAGACUAGUCAUUCUAAUACAAAUUGUGUGGUACAAACCGCUGUACCCUUUUGAAGACGCUUCGCGAGUUGUGGGGCUCAUAAUAGACUUUUCCCCAAAGUUCAAUGCAUGUGUCUUUUCAUAGGUCCAUGGGCUAUUAUUAGGGAAACUACAACGACUAUUGUUGUAGUACGUAACAGAGCCAGUCAAUGUAUUACCGAAACUAUUGGCAGGCGAUCAAAACGUGGAUUGAACAAAUAUCACGGCCCCACAACUAUUUAUGUGCUAGUACAACACUUGUUUUUCACGAUACGAGAGGCUACAACAUCAAUUUUAAAAUUAUAUCCACUGUUAUUAAAAUUUAAAAGUUAGAAUCCUUGAAGUGUGACAAACUUUACAGAAGGGAAGGAGUAAUACAUACUGCAUAUAUAUAUAUAUAUAUAUCUAUCUAUUUUUUUUUCUUGGCUUGAUUUAUCCUUAUAAAUAAAAUCAUCGUAAUAAUUUAGUGAAGAAAAAUAAUUAGUCCAAGCUCAAACUGCAACUAUUAUAAAAUCUUCAAUAAUCAGAGAAGAGGAACGCAACUAAAAAAGAAAAAGGACAACGCUCUCCCCAGUUUCAAGAAAGGCACAACUUAAAAUGUUGCUUAUUAGGCACUUAUACCGUAGUACAACCCAAAGUCGUAAGCAAACUAAAUAACUUUGCAACAAACAAUAAAUUACUACAUCACAAAUACACUUCUGAAAGGUAAAUUCACUGGAGAAUUGCCCAGCCGAAAGUCUAUUCGUUCUCUGAAAUCUCGAUAUGCAAUCCACUGGGGAAAAUAAGACCAGGUUUCCGGAUUGUCUCUC
rnacentral:lncRNA from 1 species